rnacentral:rRNA from 1 species
UUAGGCAGCUAACUUUCUGCAGCUCUUAUGUAGUUGUCCACUAACGCUAAUCAGGGCUGUGCAUGGUUAGUACCUGAAUGGAAGACCACAUGGGAAAACUAGGUUGUUGCUGGAA